GUACUUUGGCAGUACGCAUACUAAAAUGGGAACAAUACAGAUGAGAUUAGUAUGACCCUUGCACAAGGAUGGCAUGUAUCUUUGAGAGACGUUCUGUAUUUAA